GAUCAUGGCUCAGGAUGAACGCUGGCGGCGUGCCUAAUACAUGCAAGUCGAACGCUGGAAAUCUAGCUUGCUAGAUUGAAGGAGUGGCGAACGGGUGAGUAAUACAUAAGCAACCUACCCACGAAGACUGGGAUAAUCUCUGGAAACGGGGACUAAUACCGGAUAGGUAAUCGGAAGGCAUCUUCUGGUUAUUAAAGGUUAAAAACACUGGUGGAUGGGCUUAUGGCGCAUUAGUUAGUUGGUGAGGUAACGG
rnacentral:rRNA from 1 species